rnacentral:rRNA from 1 species
UACGUAGGGGGGCUAGCGUUGUCCGGAAUCAUUGGGCGUAAAGCGCGUGUAGGCGGUCCGGUAAGUCCGCUGUGAAAGUCGGGGGGCUCAACCCCUCGAAAGCCGGUGGAAACUGUCGGGCUAGAGUGCGGAAGAGGCGAGUGGAAUUCCUGGUGUAGCGGUGAAAUGCGCAGAUAAUCAGGAAGAACACCUAUGGCGAAGGCAGCACUCUGGGGAACGGUACUGACGGAGACGCAAAAGCUGGGGGAGCGAACAGGAUUAAGA